rnacentral:rRNA from 1 species
UACGGGGGGGGCAAGCGUUGUUCGGAAUUACUGGGCGUAAAGGGCUCGUAGGUGGCCAACUAAGUCAGACGUGAAAUCCCUCGGCUUAACCGGGGAACUGCGUCUGAUACUGGAUGGCUUGAGUUUGGGAGAGGGAUGCGGAAUUCCAGGUGUAGCGGUGAAAUGCGUAGAUAUCUGGAGGAACACCGGUGGCGAAGGCGGCAUCCUGGACCAACACUGACACUGAGGCACGAAAGCGUGGGGAGCAAACAGG